rnacentral:rRNA from 1 species
GUGGAUUAGUGGCGAACGGGUGAGUAACACGUGGGCAAUCUGCCCUUCACUCUGGGACAAGCCCUGGAAACGGGGUCUAAUACCGGAUACCACUCCUGCCUGCAUGGGCGGGGGUUGAAAGCUCCGGCGGUGAAGGAUGAGCCCGCGGCCUAUCAGCUUGUUGGUGGGGUAAUGGCCCACCAAGGCGACGACGGGUAGCCGGCCUGAGAGGGCGACCGGCCACACUGGGACUGAGACACGGCCCAGACUCCUACGGGAGGCAGCAGUGGGGAAUAUUGCACAAUGGGCGAAAGCCUGAUGCAGCGACGCCGCGUGAGGGAUGACGGCCUUCGGGUUGUAAACCUCUUUCAGCAGGGAAGAAGCGAAAGUGACGGUACCUGCAGAAGAAGCGCCGGCUAACUACGUGCCAGCAGCCGCGGUAAUACGUAGGGCGCAAGCGUUGUCCGGAAUUAUUGGGCGUAAAGAGCUCGUAGGCGGCUUGUCACGUCGGAUGUGAAAGCCCGAGGCUUAACCUCGGGUCUGCAUUCGAUACGGGCUAGCUAGAGUGUGGUAGGGGAGAUCGGAAUUCCUGGUGUAGCGGUGAAAUGCGCAGAUAUCAGGAGGAACACCGGUGGCGAAGGCGGAUCUCUGGGCCAUUACUGACGCUGAGGAGCGAAAGCGUGGGGAGCGAACAGGAUUAGAUACCCUGGUAGUCCACGCCGUAAACGUUGGGAACUAGGUGUUGGCGACAUUCCACGUCGUCGGUGCCG